CUUGCAUUCAAAUUGUGUCAUCUCUACUACAACUGGCAAGGAACUGUUCGUGUUCCAGCUCCGUGUCAAUAUGCCCACAAACUUGCUUUCUUGACAGCCCAAUCACUUCACGAUGAUGCAAAUGGGUACCUCCGUGACAAGCUGUUCUUCUUGUAAAACCCAUCCUGUGGAUUUCCCGUUUUAAUCAUCUGUUCUAUUAAUCAUAUCAUUGUAAUUGUUCAAAAUUUUAAAAAUCUCUGUUUUCAAAGAACUUAGCUAUUCUAGUCUGGAAUUUGGCAUAUUCCUUAACAAAUUGCGAAAACACACCAAUAAUUUUCUGUUAAAAAAAUUGAAUUUCUACCGUACAAGUGUGAGUACCGCAGCUAAACAGUUUUGCUUGAGCAAGAACCCGAAUCAUAAAAUUCCCAUUGCGAUUCAUAGAAAUGCAUUCCAAUUUUCAGUUUACUGCAGAAAGCAAAAGAACAAAAAUGAGUUAAAGUAAAUAAUUUUCGAUCACUUCCGCCUACUCUUUGGUCCAUUUUCCGGGUGUACGAAGACGGAAAAUUGGUGAAAAAAAGGAGAAAGCUCUGGAUGAGAAGAACAAAAAGAACAUUCCCAUUCUCGAAAUAAACACAUUUUUGCUCUUUUCCGGUCGUAUUUGGUCAGCUGCUACAAAAAAGGGAAUAAUUGUUGGAAAUUGCAGGAGCGAGUAUUUGAAGGAAAUGGAUCAAUAAAUGGGAAUAAAGGUUUUUUUGGAGAAAUCAAAUCUUUCAAAUGACAUUUUCACAUUUGCACUGUCGUCCAAAAAUUUUCCCUCCGGAGUAUCGAAUUUCCUAAUCUUGGGAAAUGGUUCAAUAAUUGGUCCGUAUUUGCGGAUUAUUUCUGAGUGGUUUCACAUUGGUUAUUGAGCUCGUGAGCUUUGGAAACUAGGUUACAAUAUAAUGGUUCAUGAAUAAAACGUGCUGAAAAUCAUAAGGUUUUUCAACGGAAUGCAUAUAUCUUGGAUUUCAUCGUCUGAAAAAUAAAAGAAUGCAAUAUUGAAGUUUCAGUUAACGCUCACUUUUAUUCUCAACGACAACAUCCGUCUCCUUCUUUUCCACUACUACCUCCGAUUCGUUCACCUCCUUCUCAAUAUUAAUUGGCUCCACCGCUUGAGUUGGUGUAUUUUCAGCUGGAUCGGCUUUUGGUGUCGGACUUUCAAUAAUUCCAACUUUUUCAUCUUUAACGAACUUUGUGGACUCAAGCUUAAUCGAAGAUAUUAUAAUUUCCGGGAACCUGCAAAAACUAUAACUAUAUAACUAUAGCUGUAUAAAUGUAUAACUUGAAUAAUGAUUCUUGAAAUAAUCUGGGUUUAACGUCGACACUGAUGCUCAUCGUGUACAAUUUUUUUUUGCUUGCUUUCUAAAAACCCAGAGAAUGAAUACUCGAUUGGUGAUCCACUCUCAUUUCUCAACUUUGGCUGCUCUUUUUUGUUAAUAAUUGUUUAUUGAUAUCUUUAGAAUGAACCGAGAUAUACCCCUUCAAAGUGAAGUAGUCGGCUAAUAGAGAAUAUACGGUAUCGUCUCAGUAUUAACAGAAAGUUGUUUCAGCCUAGUUGCAGACUCAUACAGGACGAUUUUUCUUUUUAAGUUUCUCCUUGAACGCCUGGCGUUUAUUCCGACUUAUAUGAAUUAAGAGAAGCUAGAAAGUGGGGCUACAGAAUUGAGAGAUUUGAGUGAAACUGAAGUUUAUUGUAAUCAGGUUAACGAAAGUCAAAAAGGAUCAUGCAGCUUCACAACUGGUGGAAGUCGUAGUUGUGGCAGUUGCUUGGAUGCGAUUUUGUCUCCUGGUUCCAGUACGAAGCGCCAUUCUUGCAGACUCAAUCGGAUUGGCUCUUUGAAAUAAUUCAAUAAUUUUGUCAAAACUAAAAUAAUUACUUACCAAAUAGACAUACUCCUCCGGCUUCUUAUCCUCAAUUUUCAGUCUGUCAGACUUUCGAUUCUCGUCCAAUUUACUUUCUUUUCGCGUUUCCCCGUCCAUUCGUUGUGAAUUGAUAAGAGAUCUUAUAGUAUUUGAGAAGACAAGUUCAGGCGUAAAAUGAAUAUCAUCUCGCUUCAUCAUUUCCGACAAUGGUUGAAUCUCAUUGAGCACUAGCUUUGUGUUUUUGAUUGUAUGAAGAGUGAUCUGUUUGUGACGAUACAAUUCCAAAUGUUCACUUCCAAUAGAGAUUGCUGGAGCAGUACUACUCUAAAAAUCAUAAAGAUUAUAGAAAAAACAUUAUACACUUUGGCUUACCAAUUCCUCUUCAUUUGGUUCUGGAUUGACCGCCCAAAAAGGUAUUCCAUCUUCAUUUAAUACAUUUACAGUGGUCAUUUUCCGAACAUCUGCCAAUUUUCGAUAUUGAUCAUAAGUGUCCGCUGAUCCCUGAGGUAUCUUCUUCGUGUCUGGGGUCUUUGUGAAGAAAGAAGACCUUUCGUCCACCAGAAAGAGUCCAUUAUCCUUAUUGUACUUUGAUGGAUAUGGUUUCUUUGCUGGCAUUCUGUCCAUCAAAAGUUUCGACUUUUCAUCAAUCGGCGCAGUUAUUCGAGUAGCAUUCUUCUUCUCUGCUGUGAACAUUCGAAAAACCCGCUCCACUUCAGUUUCGUCAACAUCUCGGCUGGUUACUUCAAGGUUCAUAUCCUGAUCGAAUCGAGUAGGGAUGAGACCUGAAAUUUUGAAAUAUAGAAAUGUUGCUCAGAAUUUGGCUCUCAUUUCCAAGCCCUAGGGUUGGUAAUUAAACAACGCCAACUUCUACGAGAGAAGCUUACAUGUUUGAUCUAAUGCUUUUAAAUACCUUUUGAUGGUUGAACAUCUUCAUCAUCCUUCACAGCAUCUUCCUGUUGCUCUCUAAAGUCUUCAGUUCUUGAAUCAUCUUUCUUCUUCUUUUUCAUUUUUUCCACUUUCUUUCCUCCUUCAUCUUUCAAGUUUUUAUCCUUUUCCGGUGUUCCUACUGACACGUCAGUUGGGGUGCGUGAUCCCUUUGACUUUUGCCGAGGCUUCUUAUCAUUUGGCUUAGAUCUCUUUUUCUGAAAGGUGAAUGAUUAAAUCUUGCAUCGAAAUAGACAACUCACUUGUUUACUGUUCUUCUUUUGCGUUUUUCUUUUAGAACCUCUUUUGGAAAAUAAUCCCAUCUCUUCUUGGCAACUUGAGAGGAUGGAGAUCAACUAUGGGAAUGAAUAGAAAAACUGAUUGAAUAGAUAAGUUCAAAUAUCCACGUAAACAACAACGUCGAAAAUUUGAAAAAAACAAUUGAAAACGGUCACGUAAAUUUAGCUUUUUUCCCGAAAUUGAAAUAUUCAAAAUUAAAUUGUUUUCGAUCUUUCCAGAAUUUUCUAGAAUGAACCACACUUUUUACUAUUUUCCCCGUUGAGGAUACACCUUCUUUAAAUAAGUUGUAUUAGUUUUGCUUCCAUUAUUUGUUUCAGAUAGCAAGUUCGGUAUGAAACUUCUUGCUUUUCAACCACAAUAGAAGUCUGUUUAACUUUUAUCAAAGUAUGCAAAGUAUCUGUAAACUGCUGGAUAUUCUCUGGAGCCUCUAUACAAAUUCAGAUCUCUCCGCAUCUUUUGGGGCAGUUAUUGAAGAUUUUCAACAAUGCCAGAGAAAGCAAAGAAGAUUUGCGGAUGAAAACUUCUCAAGUCGAAAUUUCAAUACAUUUAGUUCUCAACCCCAAAAACUUGCAACAAGCCCCGUAAUCACUAUUCAUUUCAAAAAGAAAAGAAAUAAGUUCUAUAAAUCAGUUCACGAGCCAUUUAGAAACCAUUUGUUCCAUAGGCACACUGACUGUGAAUUUCUUGUUCCUGACCAUCCAAUGCAUUUUUAUUUCUGAAAUUAUUAUAUUUUUACCAUUUGUAAUCUUGAAAAUGUGUCUUACCCAAUUACUUUCAACGAUGUAGCAGCUGGAGUCAUUCCAGUUCUCAUAAGACUUCCCUGCUUCGGGGUGAUUCCAAGGUUGUUUGGAGUUCCGGGAAGAGUGUUGGAGUCUUUCAUUGGGGUCGCAAUUGGGGUCAUCCUAUUCUUAUCAACCAAUUUGGCUUUUCCGUCCUCGUUUACCUUGCUUUUGCUCUUCAAUCUCUCCAGUUUCUCCUUUUCCUCCAAUUUCUGCCUGGCCUCAUCAUAUACUUUUAGUGCCAGUAGAUCUUCGUAUCGAGUCUUUUCUUUUGUUUUGUCAUCUUGUUUCUUCUUUCGGUAGCAAAGAUAUGCCAGGAACACAAGGGCAGCCAAAAUGAGCGUUAUCACCAUUGAAACGAUGACGUGUAUACUGAAAAAAAAGAAAAUAUGUUAGAGGAAAAAGCUAUAUGACUACAAAACUCACAAAGGAAAUUUGCAUUCUUUGGAACUGCUUCCAGCAUUGCCACCACCUCCGCCGAUCUUCUGAGAAGCUCUGAUCUUCUGUUGAGUUGAAAAUAAUUUCACCAAGGAAGUGUGGAAUGAUUGAAAGGCAAGUGGAGCCGCUUUGAAUUGUGAAUUAAGGCUAGCGAAUCGAAGAUCCAACUUGGCAAUCUUGUCGAGCACAGCUUUAGCUGCAAUAAGCUUAAACUCGCUGUUCUCUCCAGAUCGUUUCCUCCUCUCAGUCCGUGGAAUUGAUCUUAUCAAUGUCUUCAGUACUGCUACCUUUCCCAACACAUUCAUAAUCACAUCAGGAAUAGCACCCAAUUCCUUAAGAGGAGCACUGUAGUCGUCGAGUGUCUUCAGCUUUGAAACAUUGAUCAUGGCGACAAAAUAUUUGGCCUUUGCAACUGCAUUUUCCAGUGAGCCCAUGUCCUUCUUGUGGUCUCCCCAUUGAUUUUGAAGCUUCUUUAUAUCAGCAGGAUUCUUAAUUUUGCGAAUCUCACCGCUCACAGCUGCAUCGACGUUUUUGAGCUGACCAAUUGAAGAUUCCAGUUCCAAAAGACCAUAUGCACUUUUUAAAGCACUUGCAGAAUAUUCAAUCGCACUCAAAGAUUGGGCCAUCCUGUUCAACUCCAAUGUUUCCUUUGAUGCUCCGUUCUUCAUUUUCUCAGGAAUCGAUUUGAUAGCCGCCAGUUCCUUGAAUAGCUCCGAAAAAUAGAACGUUGAUGUUUCCAAGGGCUCGAUCUCAUCUGCAGUGACAUUUCGGAGUCUUUGAAUGGCACGAACUCCUUUGGAAAGCAUCACACUGUCGCUUGAUGAUUUCUGUAAACAUUGAAGAAAGUUCAUCUCGUCAGCCACUGCUUUCAUGAUGCCUCUUGUGUCAUCCAUGCCAGCUUGUACAGAAUCAGCUUUUGACAGAACUGUGCUGUUAAAAUUAUUGACAUCAAAUCCACUGAUCAACGUUUGAAUUCCAGCAACACGGUUCUGGAGAUUUGUCAACGAUCCCUGUUGUUUAAGAUUCUCAUGUAUGGUUUCAAGCUGCUGGUCCGAAUGAGGUCCACCGUCGCCAUACUUGUUCAACUCGUUAAAUUUUGCAUAUUCCGCAUUCAGCCCUUCCACAUCCAACUUCAUCGCAAUCUCAAGCAUUUCAUUGAUGGGUUUUUGCACAUCUUUAACAAAACGAAUCAGGGUAAUUCCUGGCGAACGAAUAUAAUCUGUUGUCACUGAUUGUAUUCUUUCACAUUCAUCGUAAUCGUUAAGUAAUAUCUUGAAGCCCUUCGAUAACGAGGAAUAUGAUGUGAUCGUUGUGACAAGUGAUUCCAAGGCAACGAGCGAUUGAGACAGUGCAACAGAGCGUACUGUCAUCAACUUAUCGUUCAACGUUUCCAGAUUAUCAGAAGCUUUCAACAGAGGUUGCAAUCCAGAAGUGAUUCUUGCAAAAUGUUCAUCACUGAUAUUCAGAACAUUGGAGAGCCACUGGUCUCGAGCAUCUCCGGCAACAUGUUUCAAGUCCAGAAUUCCACGUGAGAAACCAAUUGUGUGCAUUUUCGAGUGAUCUUGCUCCGCGCGAUUCACCAGUUCCAGAAUCUGCUUGAAAUCACCACUGGCGUCAUUGGCAUUGAUUUCAUUCACUUUUUCUAGGUUUGCUUCCACCAUAUUGCGUGUAUUAUUUGCACCUUUGUUGGAAUACCUUUCUCGUCGAACCAUCAGAUCAAUUACUUGUUCAAGAGGCUUAAAAGUUGUUGCACCAACAGCCAUUUCUCCAUACUCCUUCUCUAUAGACUUCUUGUCAAUCUUCUUCACUGCUUCAAUGGCGGCCAUCAUUUUUUUACAUUGGCUGGGCAAACUUCUGUACUUAUUCCACAAUUCCUUUGCCGUCGCACUUGAUAAUAUUUUUUCAAGUGUGAUUAAGACGGUACUAAUUUCUCUAUUGGCAUCACUGAACAGUUUGAAGUUGUAUUUCUCCAAAUUGUUCUUCACGUUCUUCACUGUCGCAAAGUAGUCAGUCAGUUUUGAUGAUUCGAGAACGUUUUGAACACCAUCCGACUCCAUCCGAAUCUGAUCCAAUUCAAGGAUUUUAGAUUCUAGUUCAUCCAGCUCCGUAGACGCUUUUAGAUCGUUAGGGAUGUCCUUCAGCUUCCGUGUCCAGGCAGCAAUUUUGUCCAAUUUGUAGAAGAUGUCGGACAAUUCGAUAGAUCUCAAACCGAAAAGCUCUCCAACUACGGCAUCGAUCGGAAUCUUUUCAUUCAUCAGUCCAGCCUGCAGGGUGAUUCCAUUGGCAACGUGAGCAAUGACACUUAUAUGUUUGAGGUAGCCAUCGAAGUUGGUAGUGCCUGAAAAUGUAGAAUUGAAUGUGAUGAAGUUUGUUAUUCGGAGCUAUCGACUAUCGGUUUUAAGAAGUACAUCCUCUAACUGCAACUAGGAACUGUGAAAAUGCUUCAGUAAAAUGCAAACUCAAUUAAAUAAUCUAUGUGAACCUAAUUUUAAUUACAUUAUAAAUCCUUUCAUUUCCAAGUUUUUCGCCACGUUUUGUUUACAUAUCUGGAGUUUUGGAAGCGAUACUCUUUGCAUUCGUGACAUUGGUAGAAGUCGUGGCAUUGGCAAAGGCCAGAUGGAGCUGUUGUGGUGAGCUGGGAGAGACGUCGGCGUUGGGAUGACUGAAUGGGGAUUCUGAAAAGGAAAAAUUUAGUUAAUUAUUGUCAGUGUUUAAUGACGUACCGUGGCCAGAAGCACUCCUUUUCAGGAAUGAAGAACGACGAUCCGGAGCAUGUUUGGACAACGGAGUGGCAAGACUGACUGAAUGAUCAGAAGAGGAUUCUGGAAAAAUGCCUAGUUAGAUGGAAGGAUACUUCAUUGCAACGUACCUUGUCCAAUCAAUUGGUAAUCCUGAGAAGCUGCAUCUGGAGAGCCGGACGAGACAGAACGUCCUUGACCAAUAUCGGAGGAUUGGUCCUGAGCGCCGGUGUUCUGAGGAACUCCAAAGGGGUCCGAGAAUCCUGAAACAAAUUCAAAGUUACACUCGGCAACUGAACCAUCAAUAAUUAUACCUUUUCCGAAGUGAGUAGAGUCAUGUGGUAUGGACUUUUGAGCAUUGAGGCCCAGCAAGAGUGCUAAAAUAUUAUCAAAAUUGUCAACCUGAAAGUUCUUGCGAAAAUAAAAACUCACAAACGGCAAUUAUCGAGACAACUCGCAUCCUGCUCCCGUUGUUUUGAUUGCACCAACAAACUUGAUAAAUUGAAUUUGUUGAAUAAAACGUGAUCAAUAGUAGACUGAUCAAUUGAAUACUGAUUGUUUCGAUUAAUCUAAUUGAGGAGGGAGGAGGUAGAAAGGUUAUAACACGUUGGGGGUCACGUGAAAUACUAAUUUAUUUCUAUCAGAACUAUAUUUAUUUUUUAUUAAAAAAACAAAUCACGUAAAAAUAAAAUAUUCAUAAACUUUUUUAACAACAAUUUGUAUGGUCAGUGGGAAUUUUUUUAUCGAAAAAAAUGGUAAAAACUGAGUUUGCGGCACUUUUCAAGAGAUCUUAUGCAAUAACUGUCCUAUAUCCGAACCUCUACAAUUUUGAAGUAUUAAUGUUUUAAAGAUAAUUAAAACAUAAAACUGGAAGCAAAAAAAACCAAAUUUUUUUGAUUGAUGACUGCCUAAAAAUAUGUCUGCAGAAAUCCCCGAAUUUCCAACUUUUUCGAACAAUUUUAUUAGUCAAAAUUUGACUAAAAUUCCAGUUUUGGUUUAGCUGCCAAUUAAUAUUUAUUGCAAAUUCCAAAAAUUAUUUCCUCCAAAACCAAACACCCAAAUUUUUUUAAAUUUUACCAAUUUAUUUAUCGAUGUCUGAACAAUAAUAUAAACACAAAAAAUUGAUACCCACCGUUCAAAAUUUGACGGAAAUUCUAAUUUUAGUUUAGCACCCAAUUAAUAUUUAUUGUAUAAUAUUGUAGUUGUUUCUAAUUCUUUACAAUAAACAUUUAUUUUUUUACUUGGUUCCGCAGUUUGUCAAGCAUAAAUCAAGCAUUUUCGACCAAAAAUUUCCGAAAAAAAAUUGUUUUCUGAAUUUUUUGAACGAAUUUAUUCUUUAACUUAUUGGAAACUGAUUCCGAGCUAACCUACAUGGAAGAUCAAAACUGUUUGAAAGUACCGUAAAAUGAAGUUCACAAUUGAUAAUAUAAAUUCCAGCAUUUUCAGAAAACUCGAUAUGCCACAAAAAAAGUUAUGAAUAAUAUUUAGUUUUUAAUAUUGCACUAAUGUUGAUGUCUGUUUCAACAAGUUGAUAUUAAGAGGAAAUAAAAAUCUUUGCAAUUCCCUUUUGGCCUGUUGUAUAAAUCGUAAGUCAAAGUUGAUAAUUGAUAUUGCCACCUUUUUUGAAAUCCAUUUCUUACUAUUUCUGAAACUAUGUCGAGAUGUUACCCAAAUAUAUAUCCCUGGUUGGCGAAAUCGGUAUUCUAGAUUCUAACUGUUUCACGGUGAAACUCGUGGCGAGAACCAGCAAAAAAGUGUGUGCCUUUAAAUAAAGCUGGAGUACCUGCGCAAAUGCGUAUUUUUCUUUGAAAUGCCUAAACUUGUGUUUAAUUUAUUAUUAAAGUUGAAGAAGCGCCAGUGGGGACAGUGUUAAAAACUACUCAUAUGGUGCCAAAAAAAGUUUGGAAAAAUUUUUAUUCACUAUCAAAAAGUGACAAUUACUCAGUUUUUGCCACUCAUAAUUUUGGAAGUCGUCCUGUGUGUUUUUCUGCAUUUUUUAUGCUUUAAUUUCGUUUUAAUUAUUCGUAUUUAAACAUUGUAGGGGACGGAGCAUGCGAUAUUACUUUGGAUUUCCUCAAAAGCUCAUAUUUUUCAAAAUUUUGACAAUUUGCCAAAACUGACAAGAAAUUAUGAAAAAUCAAAAAAAAAUUUUGAGUGUUUUAUUUUUUUGGAGUGUUGCAUUUUUUAUUUAUUUAUUUUCCGAAUUCGAGACUAUUUUGAGAUGAAAACUUAAAGGCGCAUUGAAUUUCGCGCCUAGGAUAUCUCGUAACGAUUACCGUACCGCCGAAAAGCUGCACGCGUUUGGGAUUUUUUUUGUUUUUUGUUUGCAUUUUCCAAUUUUUCCGCAUGUUCCUUUUGAAGUUUGAUUGAUUUUAUUCAUUUUCGUGAUUAAUUUGAUAAAACUUUAUAUCUUCUGUAGUUUCAAACACUUCCCGAACGAUGUUUUCUGAAUUUUCAGCACGUUUUUAUACUAAUUAUAAUUUACUGUAAUAUUUUUUAGGUAAUAAUGGCAUCUGGAAGUGGUCGCGGAAGAGGCCGUGGUUCAGGAUCGAACAACAGUGGAGGACAAAAUCAGAAGUAUCUGGGAACUAUCCAACCCGAUCUCUUCAUUCGUCAGCAAGGAGAACCGAAAACUGGAAACUCGGGCCAACCAUCAAAAUGAUUUGCAAACUUCAUCCCGAUUGAGAUGAUUCAGAACGACUACAGUAUCUACCAGUACCACGUCGAAUUUGAGCCCACUGUGGAUUCGAAGGCGACCAGGGAAAAUAUGCUGCGACAACCAAGCGUUACCGUGGAAAUCGGGAAACAUUUUGUUUUCGACGGAAUGAUUCUCUAUCUGAAGGAGGAGUGGGAUCAGAAUGUUGGUUUAAUUAUCAGCAAUUCCAAUAAUUAUUUUUCUUUCAGCAAAUGAUCGAGGUUCAACACCCUAAUGAUAACUCGCUGAUUUGCAUUCGAUUCAAGAAAACGAACCGUUUCCUUGUCGAUGAUCCACAAACCAUCAACAUCUUCAAUACGAUCAUUCGUCGAAGCUUCGAUGCGAUGAAGCUAACACAAAUUGGUCGCAACUACUUCGACUGGGACAAUUCUCGUGCAGUGCCGGAUUAUAAUAUGAGUAUUCUGCCUGGGUAUGAGACGGCGAUCCGCAUGUAUGAGGAUAAUCUCAUGCUCUGCGUCGAAAAUCGUUUCAAGAUGGUCCGCGAAGAUUCAAUGCUCAUUCUUCUAAGUGCUGGGAUAUAAUUCGGAAAACAAUUGUUUUUUGCAGCUUCGAAAGGAACUUCGCUCUUGUCAGAACAAUCGGCAACGCGUUCAGGAGAAAAUGAAUGAGGUGUACGGUGGUAGCACAAUAAUUACUCGAUACAACAACAAGCUGCACCGUUUCACUAGGCUCGAUAACGAAAUCACCCCUCUCAGUAAAUUCCAGAAAGAUGGAGAACAAAUCAUCCUAAAAGAGUACUUCAAGAAUCAAUACGAUAUUGAUAUCACCGAUGACGAGCAAUUCAUCAUCGUAACUUUUUGUUUUUAUUAUGAAUUGAGAAUAUUUCUCGGUUUCAGAUCUCCGAAGGAAAACCAAAGCAACCAGGAGAGCCUCCACAGGUCAAUUAUAUCGUUCCUGAAUUGUGCUUCCCGACUGGACUGACGGAUGAGAUGCGCAAGGACUUCAAGAUGAUGAAGGAAAUUGCAAAGCACACUCGUAUGUCUCCACAGCAAAGACUUGACGAGACAAGAAAACUGAUUACCAAGUUGAGUCAAAACCAAACGAUGAUGGAGUGCUUCCAGUACUGGGGGAUUUCUCUCGGACAAGAUCUUGCGAAUGUUCAAGCUAGAGUAUUGAAGUCUGAACCUCUCCAAGGAAAGAGACAAUACGAAGGAAAGCAAGCAGAGUGGGCUCGCGGUGUCAAGGAAUGUGGCAUUUAUCGUGGUUCCAACAUGACCAACUGGAUUGUGAUUGGACCUGGUUCGGGGAAUUCAGGACUGCUGGCGCAGAAGUUCAUUGGUGAGUUGUCACUUGUUUAAUUGUUAAACAAAUUUUUUUUCAGCGGAGGCUCGUAAUCUUGGUAGGACACUUCAAGUGCAGCUAGGAGAGCCAAUGUGUGUCAAAAUAAAUGGCAUCUCUCCCAACGAUUACUUGGAAGGAUUGAAGGCUGCCAUCAAGAGUGUCGAUGGGGAGGAAAUUCAUAUGCUCGUCGUGAUGCUGGCUGACGACAAUAAGACGAGAUAUGACAGUCUGAAGAAGUAUCUCUGCGUCGAGUGUCCCAUUCCCAAUCAAUGCGUGAAUUUGCGCACGUUGGCUGGAAAGUCCAAGGAUGGAGGAGAGAACAAAAACUUGGGUUCUAUUGUUCUGAAGAUUGUUCUUCAAAUGAUCUGCAAGACUGGUGGAGCUCUAUGGAAAGUUAAUAUUCCGGUUAGUUCGGUUCAGCAUUUGGUUUGAAACCAAAAUCUAAUUUUCAGCUCAAGAGCACAAUGAUCGUCGGAUACGAUCUGUACCACGAUUCGACGUUGAAGGGAAAAACUGUCGGUGCUUGCGUAUCUACAACUUCCAACGACUUCACGCAAUUCUAUUCUCAAACAAGACCUCAUGAGAAUCCAACGCAGCUUGGAAACAAUUUGACCCACUUCGUCCGAAGUAAGAUUAUUAAUUUGAGGAUAAAUGGCUUAAUAAGAAAUUUUCAGAGUCUCUGAAGCAGUAUUACGACAAUAACGAUAAAACUUUGCCGAGCCGAUUGAUUCUCUACAGAGAUGGUGCUGGAGACGGACAAAUUCCGUAUAUUAAGAACACCGAAGUCAAGUUGGUCCGUGACGCUUGCGAUGCCGUGACCGACAAAGCUGCGGAGCUGAGCAACAAAGUUCAAGAGAAGAUCAAACUGGCAUUCAUCAUUGUCACGAAACGUGUGAAUAUGCGUAUUCUCAAGUAUGCAUUCUGUUUUUAACGUCGGUAAUGAAAAGUUUUUAGGCAAGGAUCGUCGUCUAAAAGUGCCAUCAAUCCGCAACCAGGAACCGUCGUCGACACAACUGUCACUCGCCCAGAGAGAAUGGACUUCUACUUGGUUCCGCAGUUUGUCAACCAGGGAACUGUAACACCCGUGUCCUACAAUAUCAUCCACGAUGAUACUGGUCUUGGUCCGGACAAGCAUCAACAGG
rnacentral:sRNA from 1 species